AAAAUUUUCUAAAAAACAACAGCAAAACAUAUCAAAACCCUAGCUUCCAGUUUCAGACCAGUGGUUUCCAACUCUUCGACCACCAUCGUUCCCCCGCCCCCCGGUUGCCUCUCUCACCUUUGUCAGAUUAUACAAUGAAGUCCCUAAAUACGACAAAGGAAGAAUAAUAGGAGUCCGUGACCGAGUCAAUGAGAUCUUCUUCGGGUUUGUAGAAACUACGGUCAGAAGAUGGCUGUUGAAUAUUUAGAGCUCUUAAUGCUGCAAAAUUAGAUAAGCUAGAUUUGCAUGAUGAACACCACCUUGAUAACCUUGUGGUCUAGAACAGGUAACCUUAUGAGUCUAGAGUAGGUGAUGGCUUCAAUAAUGUAAUGGGGAAAUUGAAACUUGUAUUGAAUUUUCUGCAGCUAACCUUGUGCAGUGACUUCCCUUGACCAAUUGUACAGUUCUAGUAUGAAGUUUCUCCAGGAGCUGGCCCAAAUGCACACCAGGACUCUUCUACUAGUUGUACAGUUCUGGGAUGAGCUUUGUAAAAAGAAGCACCCAAAUGUGGCAUAGUCUUAGAGGGCUAAUAUGAUCCGCAUGCACCUGCAAAAUAUAUAUGUGCCACAACAAGCCUCGACUCCCAGCUAAUGGGACAUGAGAAAGCACACGGCUUCGCCCAUCAAUGUUGUGGAGUGGUGUUAGGCCUUCUAGAUCUGGUUUACACAAUUCCAAAGCUGUCACCACAUGUACACUAAUUCUUGGCAUGCUUACAAGUGUUGUAUUAGGUUUAUAUUUUGCUCUACGUUCUGGUUCUUCAACAUCCCUCCAUCUUAUUCGAGAACAGGUGAACGAUUACCAUUUCUAGAAUCGGAGGAACUAGAAUCGGGCAAAGGCAAGAAAGAAGUGGAAGCAAAACAUGUGAGUUAUUCGUACACGUUUUUCCAUAUGAUAUUUGCAAUAGCAAGCAUGUAUUCGGACAUGCUUUUAUUGGGAUGGAGCAGUUCAGAAUGCUUGGAUCUCAUUGAUACCGGGUGGUUGGUCAUUGAUUGAAUUGUUCACAAUUUGCAUCUGGUGGCUACUCGUUGAUUUUGCAACCAAAUCAUGGAGCAUUCCACAAAGGCAAAACAACUGGAUAUAUAUUUGCAGCACUUUUAAGUCUACAAGCAGUGAGUAUAUGGAUUUGAAGACAAUGACCAAGAAUUAGUUCUUAGUUUAUGUGUAGAGGCAUUCCCUUUGCAACUUUUAUAGUUAGGUUUUGAGAAGUUUGUCU
rnacentral:lncRNA from 1 species